rnacentral:rRNA from 1 species
UACGAAGGGGGCUAGCGUUGCUCGGAAUCACUGGGCGUAAAGGGCACGUAGGCGGCUUCUUAAGUCAGGGGUGAAAGCCUGGAGCUCAACUCCAGAACUGCCUUUGAUACUGAGGAGCUUGAGUCCGGGAGAGGUGAGUGGAACUGCGAGUGUAGAGGUGAAAUUCGUAGAUAUUCGCAAGAACACCAGUGGCGAAGGCGGCGAUCUGGGCUGAUACUGACGCUGAGGUGCGAAAGCGUGGGGAGCAAACAGG